UACGGAGGAUCCAAGCGUUAUCCGGAUUUAUUGGGUUUAAAGGGUGCGUAGGCGGCUUGUUAAGUCAGUGGUGAAAGUCGGUAGCUUAACUAUCGAAUUGCCAUUGAUACUGAUGAGCUUGAGUGUAGAUGAGGUGGGCGGAAUGUGUCAUGUAGCGGUGAAAUGCUUAGAUAUGACACAGAACACCGAUUGCGAAGGCAGCUCACUAAACUAUAACUGACGCUGAGGCACGAAAGCGUGGGGAUCAAACAGG
rnacentral:rRNA from 1 species